UACGUAGGCAGCAAGCGUUGUUCGGAGUUACUGGGCGUAAAGGGUGUGUAGGCGGUUGUUUAAGUUUGGUGUGAAAUCUCCCGGCUCAACUGGGAGGGUGCGCCGAAUACUGAAUGACUAGAGUGCGGGAGAGGUGAGUGGAAUUCCUGGUGUAGCGGUGAAAUGCGUAGAUAUCAGGAGGAACACCGGUGGUGUAGACGGCUCACUGGACCGUAACUGACGCUGAGACGCGAAAGCGUGGGGAGCAAACAGG
rnacentral:rRNA from 1 species